GACGAACGCUGGCGGCGUGCCUAAUACAUGCAAGUUGAGCGCUGAAGGUUGGUACUUGUACCAACUGGAUGAGCAGCGCACGGGUGAGUAACGCGUGGGGAAUCUGCCUUUGAGCGGGGGACAACAUUUGGAAACGAAUGCUAAUACCGCAUAAAAACUUUAAACACAAGUUUUAAGUUUGAAAGAUGCAAUUGCAUCACUCAAAGAUGAUCCCGCGUUGUAUUAGCUAGUUGGUGAGGUAAAGGCUCACCAAGGCGAUGAUACAUAGCCGACCUGAGAGGGUGAUCGGCCACAUUGGGACUGAGACACGGCCCAAACUCCUACGGGAGGCAGCAGUAGGGAAUCUUCGGCCAUGGACGAAAGUCUGACCGAGCAACGCCGCGUGAGUGAAGAAGGUUGUCGGAUCGUAAAACUCUGUUGGUAGAGAAGAACGUUGGUGAGAGUGGAAAGCUCAUCAAGUGACGGUAACUACCCAGAAAGGGACGGCUAACUACGUG
rnacentral:rRNA from 1 species